GCAGAACCUUACCAGCCUUUGACAUCCUAGGACGGUUUCUGGAGACAGAUUCCUUCCCUUCGGGGACCUAGUGACAGGUGCUGCAUGGCUGUCGUCAGCUCGUGUCGUGAGAUGUUGGGUUAAGUCCCGCAACGAGCGCAACCCUCGUCCUUAGUUGCCAUCAUUUAGUUGGGCACUUUAAGGAAACUGCCGGUGAUAAGCCGGAGGAAGGUGGGGAUGACGUCAAGUCCUCAUGGCCCUUACAGGCUGGGCUACACACGUGCUACAAUGGCAUCUACAGUGAGCAGCGAUCCCGCGAGGGUUAGCUAAUCUCCAAAAGAUGUCUCAGUUCGGAUUGUUCUCUGCAACUCGAGAGCAUGAAGGCGGAAUCGCUAGUAAUCGCGGAUCAGCAUGCCGCGU
rnacentral:rRNA from 1 species